rnacentral:rRNA from 1 species
GCGUAAGCGCACGCAGGCGGUCUGUCAAGUCGGAUGUGAAAUCCCCGGGCUCAACCUGGGAACUGCAUUCGAAACUGGCAGGCUAGAGUCUUGUAGAGGGGGGUAGAAUUCCAGGUGUAGCGGUGAAAUGCGUAGAGAUCUGGAGGAAUACCGGUGGCGAAGGCGGCCCCCUGGACAAAGACUGACGCUCAGGUGCGAAAGCGUGGGGAGCAAACAGGAUUAGAUACCCUGGUAGUCCACGCCGUAAACGAUGUCGAUUUGGAGGUUGUGCCCUUGAGGCGUGGCUUCCGGAGCUAACGCGUUAAAUCGACCGCCUGGGGAGUACGGCCGCAAGGUUAAAACUCAAAUGAAUUGACGGGGGCCCGCACAAGCGGUGGAGCAUGUGGUUUAAUUCGAUGCAACGCGAAGAACCUUACCUGGUCUUGACAUCCACAGAACUUUCCAGAGAUGCAUUGGUGCCUUCGGGAACUGUGAGACAGGUGCUGCAUGGCUGUCGUCAGCUCGUGUUGUGAAAUGUUGGGUUAAGUCCCGCAACGAGCGCAACCCUUAUCCUUUGUUGCCAGCGGUUAGGCCGGGAACUCAAAGGAGACUGCCAGUGAUAAACUGGAGGAAGGUGGGGAUGACGUCAAGUCAUCAU